rnacentral:rRNA from 1 species
GAUAAACGCUGGCGGCGCACAUAAGACAUGCAAGUCGAACGGACUCAACCUAUUGAUUUAUCGAUAGGAGCGGUUAGUGGCGGACUGGUGAGUAACACGUGGGCAACCUACCUUUAAGAGUGGAAUAACAGUGAGAAAUCACUGCUAAUACCGCAUAAUAUUAUUUUAUUGCAUGAUAGGAUAAUCAAAGGAGCAAUCCGCUUAGAGAUGGGCCCGCGACUGAUUAGCUAGUUGGAGUGGUAGAGGCACACCAAGGCGACGAUCAGUAGCCGGACUGAGAGGUUGAACGGCCACAUUGGGACUGAGAUACGGCCCAGACUCCUACGGGAGGCAGCAGUCGGGAAUAUUGCACAAUGGAGGGAACUCUGAUGCAGUGACGCCGCGUAUAGGAAGAAGGUCUUCGGAUUGUAAACUAUUGUUUUAAGGGAAGAGAAAGGACAGUACCUUAAGAGAAAGCUCCGGCUAACUACGUGCCAGCAGCCGCAGUAAUA